AUUGAGAGAACUUGUAAUAAGGCUGCUCAUCUCAUAUUCCUCAUAUUCUCUUGCUUGAUCUUUCUCUCUUCCGCCCACUCUUUUUGUCUCCCCCCAUCCUUUAUCACAAACUUGAACAAACUCAACAAUCCCUUACAAAUCCAAACCUAGCAAUGCUCUUUGCCUCUUUUGAUGCUUUAUACUUUAUGUAGGUGAUGCCACCAACUGUGCUGUAGUCCCCAUUCAAUAAAAACGGUUUGGGUGGGAAUGAAAAUUUAGAUACAAUCUUCUGUUACAUUUUAUUAAAAGAGGCUUCUCUCCUUUUUAGUUGAAUGAGAAGGAUCUUCUUUCCAAACUAAGUUGAAUGAUAUCUUCUGCAAAUCAAGUUGUGAGCUUCAUAAGAUUAGCAACAAGGGGAACAAAUCCUGGUUUAUCAUAAUCCAGCUGAACCAGUGCUCCAAAGGGUGAUGGCCUCUCAAGUAAACGAGAUGGUUGAUCAAAUUCUUUUGCCCGCCUUUCAUCUAUAAACUUCAAUCGUUUGAGAUGACUUGGAAAUUAAAGGAACGUGGAUGAAAAUUAGCCAAGAAAAUUUUCAACUGUUUCUCUUUGGUUCCUUUUAUUUCUCCUUCUCGCCUCUCGGGCCACGACCGCUGGGUUCAGUAAGUUUUAUUAUUGGGCCGGGCCAUGUGAUGAAAUGUUUCAGGCACAUUUUCCCUUUUGAUGUCUUUCUCAUGAAUCUGGAACUAUGACUUCUAAGGUAAAGUACAACUAUUGAGGCUUUUUGAGGCAAUGCUUGUUAAUUAUGGGUGAUAAUUAACUUCAUUUUUUUUUUGUUACAACAAUUCAAUGAAAAUUCAUUCAUUAUACAAUAAUUACAAUGCAGCAAUAUAUCUAUAUAUUCUUUCUCCUAAUUAAGUGAUAUUAAUUUAUGGUUAAUUAACCCCUUUGUAGAUUUAGAGCUUCUAUAAUUAUAUAUGCAUUUUGUUAUGAUUAAUUCUCAUAAUAAUUAAAGUGCUAGUGUAUACCUUCUUUUCAAUAUCCUUUAUACAUAAUUGAGUUACAGUCUCUCUCAAGUCACAAGUAAUAACAAUAAUUCCAAAUACCCAUUUAUUUUUUUUUUCAAAAAUUCACUUUCUCUCUUACAUAAUUAAGUUGAAAUUCAUGAGGUUUUUCUAAAGCAAAUGGUUCAUAAAAACAAGUGAAAUUAAUUUUUUUAAAUUAAUUAAUUAAUAUUUGUGAUAGCUUUUAAAAAUUAAAAUUCCCUUUUAUUUAAAAAAGAAAAAAGAUUAUGAAGGUUAGUGAUGUACAAAUUGAGGAGAUAUUUUUCCUGAAUAAAUCUGACAAUAGAAAGAGAUUGUGUAACAGAUUGUUGCAUUGCAUGUGUAGCAGAGGAAGAUUCCUUUACCUUUAUUUCCUUUUUAUUCCCCAUGUACCACCCAAUAAUAUUAAUUUCUUUCUGUUCCUUUCUUUUCUCUCUUUGUCUUUCCCUUUGGCAUUUUCCUUUCUCCAUUUAAUAAAAUAUAAAUCACCCUAUUGUAACAAA